AACAGAUCCGUAACUUCGGGAUAAGGAUUGGCUCUAAGGGUUGGGUACGUUGGGCUUUAGGCGGACGGCUCGGGAGCAGGUCGCCACUAGCCGGGCAACCGGCCGGAGGCUUCCAGCAUCUGGGUUCUGACGCCUUUAGCAGGCUUCGGCCGUCCGGCGUACGGUUAACAACCAACUUAGAACUGGUACGGACAAGGGGAAUCUGACUGUCUAAUUAAAACAUAGCAUUGCGAUGGCCAGAAAGUGGKRUAUACGGCAUCAGUACGGAAUGCAUAUUCAGUCAGAGGCCACGUGGAUGUUUCGACUCGAGUCCGAGUU
rnacentral:ncRNA from 2 species